UACGAAGGGGGCUAGCGUUGCUCGGAAUUACUGGGCGUAAAGCGCACGUAGGCGGCUUUCUAAGUCGGGGGUGAAAUCCUGGAGCUCAACUCCAGAACUGCCUUCGAUACUGGAGAGCUCGAGUCCGGGAGAGGUGAGUGGAACUGCGAGUGUAGAGGUGAAAUUCGUAGAUAUUCGCAAGAACACCAGUGGCGAAGGCGGCUCACUGGCCCGGUACUGACGCUGAGGAGCGAAAGCGUGGGAGCGAACGAGG
rnacentral:rRNA from 1 species